rnacentral:rRNA from 1 species
GAUGAACGCUAGCUACAGGCUUAACACAUGCAAGUCGAGGGGAAACGAUAGAGAAAGCUUGCUUUUUCUAGGCGUCGACCGGCGCACGGGUGAGUAACGCGUAUCCAACCUGCCCACCACUUGGGGAUAACCUUGCGAAAGUAAGACUAAUACCCAAUGAUAUCUCAAGAAGACAUCUGAAUGAGAUUAAAGAUUUAUCGGUGAUGGAUGGGGAUGCGUCUGAUUAGCUUGUUGGCGGGGCAACGGCCCACCAAGGCGACGAUCAGUAGGGGUUAUGAGAGGAAGGUCCCCCACAUUGGAACUGAGACACGGUCCAAACUCCUACGGGAGGCAGCAGUGAGGAAUAUUGGUCAAUGGGCGAGAGCCUGAACCAGCCAAGUAGCGUGCAGGAUGACGGCCCUAUGGGUUGUAAACUGCUUUUAUAAGGGAAUAAAGUGAGUCUCGUGAGGCUUUUUGCAUGUACCUUAUGAAUAAGGACCGACUAAUUCCGUGCCAGCCGCCGCGGUAA